rnacentral:lncRNA from 1 species
CUCUCAGAAGGCGCCAGAACGGGGAAUGAUGACUCUGCAGUCCCUGUGCGAAAAACAGUAGGGCUUUUGGAAAGUGGUCGUUCUGAGAACAAUGACACGGGCAUUAAAAUUGAUUUUAAACAGCGCUUGACAUGCUUCGAAGUACGGUAAUGGAAUAUUUUGAUUUCUUUUGUCACGAUACGCGCCGGCGCGUCACCCUUCGGAUAGUGUCUUGAACGCAAGAACAAAACGCAGCUAUUUGGAUAUAACUAUGGAUUAUUUGGAACCAAAACAACAUUGGGUGUUGAAGUAGAAGUCCUGGGAGUGCAUUCUGACGAAGAACAGCAAAACGACCCUCUGCGACAGAUCAAAUCCUGGUGAAAGAAUCCAUCAUGAGGAAGGCAGUAACCCUGGCUGGACCCUGCCAUACUGACUGAUGAAUGACUGACUGGCUGACUCUCAGAGGGGGUCGGUGGGGUCGCCUCUGUCUUUCCUCUUCUUGUGAAAGGAGACGUGAAGUAGGGCCACGUACUCCACUUCAACAUGUUACAAUUGAAUAGUACAUCAAGCAAAUGACACAGCAUGCUCUGAACAUCGCAGCAUCAGGUUCAUUGUAGGUGAGGUGAUAAUCAUAAUGCACAUAAAAUGAAUGUGUGCAUGUGGGUUGUUACCUCUGUGUUUGUAUGUGCCCGUGUGCGUCUGUGUACAAUACUGUACAAUACAAAUGUAACGAAUUCAUAUUUGAGGACUUUGCCCUAAUUUAACCGUACUGUAAUGUUGACCAGUUUCAGAGCAGUAAGUCAUGAUUUAGAGACUUUCAUCAUUAUGCAUUUAGCACAGAACUGUGCACAGUAUUCAGUAUUGGUUUAUCUCUGUUUCCCAACUGCAUUAUAACAUCCUAAGGCUCUAGCCCCUUCUGUUUCAAGAUCAUCUGCAAUUCAGUCAAUUCUAUGUCAAUUCCUUCCCACUGGGCACACACUGGAUGAAUCAUUGUUGUUUCCACGUAAUUUCAAAUAAAUUACGUUGAACCAACGUGGAAAAUAUAUUGAAUUGACGUCUGCGCCUAGUAGGUUUUCUCGAAGGGACAUUCUGUUCUAGUCUGUUCUAAUUUUCCUUACAUUCAAAAUACAUAAAAAUGCCCCCUUAUCGAAAUUCUAUAAUGUACUGUAUGUAUUUAGACAAGAGAGCUGUGGUAAACUGGUUCUAUACUCUGUGUCAGAUCACAGCAGGCUGAGGAAAUCAUUGUCAACCAAGAUCAUCCAGGUACAAUUCAUCCACAUCCCACAGGAUAGUAGUGCUAAUGCAUUACACGUACUGCCUCUGGAGUCUCUCGCUCUCUCCUUUUCUCCUUCUACCUCCUAUACCUCUUCCACUCUCUUUUUUUCUCUCACUCCUGCAUAUACCAAUCACUAGGAGAGAGUUGGAGGAAGGGGGAAAUGGGAUGGAGUCCUCCGUCUGUAAUGAGAUAUGUGUUCCAUAACAGCUGACCAGUCAAAUUGAACAGGCCUCCUCACCCAGGAUGCUUAAUUACUUGGUGAGAAACACAUUACUGUGCGCCACAGGACACAGGGAUAUAGGCGUGAGGGAAACCUCUGGGGCAGGGUUAUAAUCACACAGAUCACAAAGGGCAGGAGCGGAGCCCAAAAACUGAGGUUUUGUGUUGCUAUAUACGCUCUACACCCUGCACUUACUUUGCACAACUACAGUAUGUAUAAAAAACGUGGCCAUUAAAGGAGAAUUUCACACUGGCUCUGUCAUUACUAUAUUAACAACAUUAUGUUUUUCUCAUAAACAUCACAAUUAUCCAAACCACAAGCUAGAACUAGCACAUUUUCAUUUCACUGGUAGAAUCGGGAAGUUUCGACUCUGUGUAUUGGUUUGCUCAUAGUGAACCACAAAGUCGUUCAUGGAGAAUGCUGAUACUGCCCAUUAGGUAGAGGGUCCGUGCCCACAAACUUGAAUAAUGGCAUUGUUUACUUCAAACGACCAACACACAGUAAUCUCAGAACUUCUCUAGGCAAGAUUUUUUUGAACACUUUUGUUUUUCACUGUUUGUCAUCAUGCCCGUUUGGUGUUUUGUGCCUGGCUGUGCUAAUUACAAACAAGUGCAAACGUGUUAUCUUUCACCAUUCUACCUACAAGAGAUUCACCCUGAUUCUGCCAGUGGCUUGAAGCUAUCAAGAAUGAUGCGUUGAUCAAAGACUAUCAAAUGGAUCUUCAGGCUGAACUCAUUUCGACGACAGCUGAGAAAUGAUGCAACACCAGCAAUGUUUUUCUUUCACAACAAAACGGAAGAUUCUCAAUUAGAGAACCUAACGUUAGCUAGCUUGCUAGCCUAGCUGGGUAAGUUAGCUAGCUUACUAACGUUACAGUCUGGUAUUGAACUCUGAAAGCCAUCAGCUAAAUCAUACUAGCUAUCUUUUGGUAUACACACUGUCAAUCAAUUUUGCCUAUGCCAUGGUAGUUACUGCUAGACUGGUUGCUACCUUCAGCAGAGUAAACAUGUUUGUUUGUUCGUUCUAUCUUUGACUGUCGUUAACUAACGUAAGCUAGCUAAUGUUACCAAAUGUUACCGACCGGCUCGAUUCGGUCUUGUGUAGCAAAAAUUGUGUUUUUUUACAUUGGAUAAAAGUAGAGACUCAGAGCAAGAAAAUAGUAUAUCAUACACUACAGUUGAGGAACAAUGGGAAAGUAAAUCUGCUUUGAAAGUUUAUCAACUUGUAACCCCACUUUUGAGAAAAUGGCCCUUGAAUGUUUUGGAACACCUUCUGGAGAGCUCUUCUUUGUCUACACCCAUGCAGCAUCGUUCACACCCUCUUAACUUCUUGGGGCUAUGUGGGACGCUAGCGUGCCACCCGUGGUGCACCCUAUCAACAGCAGGUGCAUUUCAAGAGCGGCAAAUUUGAAACCAAAUAAAUGUCAAAAUUCAAAUUUUUCAAACAUACAACUAUCUUACACCCUUUGAAAGAUAAACAUCUCCUUAAUCUAACCACGUUGUCCGAUUUCAAAAAGGUUUUACGGCGAAAGCAUAAAGUUAGAUUAUGUUAGGAGAGUACAUUGACAAUAGCUGUGUGUAAUGUUUUGUCAAUUCAAAGACAG